GUGGUGAGGGCGAUCUGGCUGCGACAUUUGUCACCCCAUUGAUUGCCAGGGUUGAUUCAGCUGAUCUGGCUUGCUAGUCAGGUGUCCCCUUCCUCCUUUACCACUACAUGUGCGUCCCUCCCAAAGCUGUGCACUCGGUGGAAGAGGAGAACCAUCCCAGAUAGAAGGAGUGUAGUGUUCUUCGGUCAAGGGUAUACGAUAGGUGCGCUCCCCUGCUAGAAUCUCCAAACAAGCUCAAGGUCCAUUUGUAGGAUAACGUAGGGUAGUCAAGCUUCCAAGACUCCAAGUAAGGCGCUGCUUGUGGCAGUUUGCCAUUCUUU